GAUGAACGCUGGCGGCGUGCCUAAUACAUGCAAGUCGAGCGAACGGACGAGAAGCUUGCUUCUCUGAUGUUAGCGGCGGACGGGUGAGUAACACGUGGAUAACCUACCUAUAAGACUGGGAUAACUUCGGGAAACCGGAGCUAAUACCGGAUAAUAUUUUGAACCGCAUGGUUCAAAAGUGAAAGACGGUCUUGCUGUCACUUAUAGAUGGAUCCGCGCUGCAUUAGCUAGUUGGUAAGGUAACGGCUUACCAAGGCAACGAUGCAUAGCCGACCUGAGAGGGUGAUAGGCCACACUGGAACUGAGACACGGCCCAGACUCCUACGGGAGGCAGCAGUAGGGAAUCUUCCGCAAUGGGCGAAAGCCUGACGGAGCAACGCCGCGUGAGUGAUGAAGGUCUUCGGAUCGUAAAACUCUGUUAUUAGGGAAGAACAUAUGUGUAAGUAACUGUGCACAUCUUGACGGUACCUAAUCAGAAAGCCACGGCUAACUACGUG
rnacentral:rRNA from 1 species